rnacentral:rRNA from 1 species
CAUACGACCGUACCGCAAACCGACACUGGUGCGCGAGAUGAGUAUUCUAAGGCGCUUGAGAGAACUCAGGAGAAGGAACUCGCAAAUUGACACCGUAACUUCGGAAGAAGGUGUGCCCUAUUAGUGUGUAGUGAACAACGAAGCAUGAAUGGGUUGCAAAAAAUCGGUGGCUGCGACUGUUUAUUAAAAACACAGCACUCUGCAAACACGAAAGUGGACGUAUAGGGUGUGACGCCUGCCCGGUGCUGGAAGAUUAAAUGAUGGGGUGCAAGCUCUUGAUUGAAGUCCCAGUAAACGGCGGCCGUAACAAUAACGGUCCUAAGGUAGCGAAAUUCCUUGUCGGGUAAGUUCCGACCUGCACGAAUGGCGUAACGAUGGCCACACUGUCUCCUCCUGAGACUCAGCGAAGUUGAAAUGUUUGUGAUGAUGCAAUCUCCCCGCGGAAAGACGGAAAGACCCCAUGAACCUUUACUGUAGCUUUGUAUUGGACUUUGAACAGAUCUGUGUAGGAUAGGUGGGAGGCUUUGAAGCAGGGUCGCUAGAUCUUGUGGAGCCAACGUUGAAAUACCACCCUGGUGUGUUUGAGGUUCUAACCUAGGUCCAUUAUCUGGAUCGGGGACAGUGCAUGGUAGGCAGUUUGACUGGGGCGGUCUCCUCCCAAAGCGUAACGGAGGAGUUCGAAGGUACGCUAGUUACGGUCGGACAUCGUGACGAUAGUGCAAUGGCAUAAGCGUGCUUAACUGCGAGACUGACAAGUCGAGCAGAUGCGAAAGCAGGACUUAGUGAUCCGGUGGUUCUGUAUGGAAGGGCCAUCGCUCAACGGAUAAAAGGUACUCUGGGGAUAACAGGCUGAUACCGCCCAAGAGUUCAUAUCGACGGCGGUGUUUGGCACCUCGAUGUCGGCUCAUCUCAUCCUGGGGCUGUAGCCGGUCCCAAGGGUAUGGCUGUUCGCCAUUUAAAGAGGUACGUGAGCUGGGUUUAAAACGUCGUGAGACAGUUUGGUCCCUAUCUUCCGUGGGCGCUGCAGAUUUGAGGAAGCCUGCUCCUAGUACGAGAGGACCGGAGUGGACACACCUCUGGUGUAUCGGUUGUCACGCCAGUGGCAUUGCCGAGUAGCUAAGUGUGGAAGAGAUAACCGCUGAAAGCAUCUAAGCGGGAAACUCGUUUCAAGAUGAGAUCUGCCGGGGCCUUGAGCCCCCUAAAGAGUCGUUCAAGACCAGGACGUUGAUAGGUCAGGUGUGGAAGCG